GACGAACGCUGGCGGCGUGCUUAACACAUGCAAGUCGAACGGAAAGGCCCUGCUUUUGUGGGGUGCUCGAGUGGCGAACGGGUGAGUAACACGUGAGUAACCUGCCCUUGACUUUGGGAUAACUUCAGGAAACUGGGGCUAAUACCGGAUAGGAGCUCCUGCUGCAUGGUGGGGGUUGGAAAGUUUCGGCGGUUGGGGAUGGACUCGCGGCUUAUCGGCUUGUUGGUGGGGUAGUGGCUUACCAAGGCUUUGACGGGUAGCCGGCCUGAGAGGGUGACCGGCCACAUUGGGACUGAGAUACGGCCCAGACUCCUACGGGAGGCAGCAGUGGGGAAUAUUGCACAAUGGGCGGAAGCCGGAUGCAGCAACGCCGCGUGCGGGAUGACGGCCUUCGGGUUGUAAACCGCUUUCGCCUGUGACGAAGCGUGAGUGACGGUAAUGGGUAAAGAAGCACCGGCUAACUACGUG
rnacentral:rRNA from 1 species